UACGUAGGGGGGCAAGCGUUUGUCCGGAUUUAUUGGGCGUAAAGCGCGCGUAGGCGGCUACCUAAGUCAGAUGUGAAAGCCCUCGGCUCAACUGGGGAAGUGCAUCUGAAACUGAGUGGCUUGAGUAUCGAAGAGGAUCGCGGAAUUCCCAGUGUAGAGGUGAAAUUCGUAGAUAUUGGGAGGAACACCGGCGGCGAAGGCGGCGAUCUGGACGGAUACUGACGCUGAGACGCGAAAAGCGUGGGGAGCAAACAGG
rnacentral:rRNA from 1 species